UACGUAGGUGACAAGCGUUGUCCGGAUUUACUGGGCGUAAAGAGCGCGCAGGCGGUCGAUCAAGUCGAGUGUGAAAGCCCCCCGGCUCAACUGGGGAGGGUCAUUCGAAACUGGUCGACUCGAAGGCAGGAGAGGGUAGUGGAAUUCCCGGUGUAGUGGUGAAAUGCGUAGAUAUCGGGAGGAACACCAGUGGCGAAGGCGACUACCUGGCUGUUCUUGACGCUGAGGCGCGAAAGCUAGGGGAGCGAACAGG
rnacentral:rRNA from 1 species